GGGGAGUGAAACAGUUCCUGAAACCGGACGCCUACAAACAGUCGGAGCCUACCGUGGACCUUCGGGUCAAUGGAUUGGUGACGGCGUACCUUUUGUAUAAUGGGUCAACGACUUGGUCUUACUAGCAAGCUUAAGCCGUUAGGUGUAGGCGCAGCGAAAGCGAGUCUGAAUAGGGCGCAUGAGUUAGUAGGAUCAGACCCGAAACCGAGUGAUCUAGGCAUGUCCAGGAUGAAGGUUCGGUAAUACGAACUGGAGGUCCGAACCCACACCUGUUGAAAAAGGUCGGGAUGAGGUGUGCCUAGGGGUGAAAGGCCAAUCAAACUCGGAGAUAGCUGGUUCUCCGCGAAAUCUAUUUAGGUAGAGCGUCAGACGAAUACUCCCGGGGGUAGAGCACUGGAUGGGUAAUGGGGGACCCACAGUCUUACUGAUCCUAACCAAACUCCGAAUACCGGGAAGUAAUAUCUGGCAGACACACGGCGGGUGCUAAGGUCCGUCGUGAAAAGGGAAACAGC
rnacentral:rRNA from 1 species